CCCUUAGAUGUUCUGGGCCGCACGCGUGCUACACUGAGUGGAUCAGCGGGUCAGGUUGCGCGAAAGUGUUUCCUAAUCUUUAAAUCCGCUCGUGAUGGGGAUUGACGGUUGCAAUUUUCUGUCAUGAACGAGGAAUACCUUGUAAGCGCGGGUCAUCAUCCCGCGCUGAAUACGUCCCUGCCCUUUGUACACACCGCCCGUCGCUCCUACCGAUUGAGUGGUCCGGUGAGGCUUUGGGAUCUGAGCGGAAAGAGCGUUUCGCCGUUUCUGCUCGGAAAACUCAGUCGAACCUUAUCAUUUAGAGGAAGGAGAAGUCGUAACA
rnacentral:rRNA from 1 species